rnacentral:rRNA from 1 species
GACGAACGCUGGCGGCGUGCUUAACACAUGCAAGUCGAACGGAAAGGCCCUGCUUUUGUGGGGUGCUCGAGUGGCGAACGGGUGAGUAACACGUGAGUAACCUGCCCUUGACUUUGGGAUAACUUCAGGAAACUGGGGCUAAUACCGGAUAGGAGCUCCUGCUGCAUGGUGGGGGUUGGAAAGUUUCGGCGGUUGGGGAUGGACUCGCGGCUUAUCAGCUUGUUGGUGGGGUAGUGGCUUACCAAGGCUUUGACGGGUAGCCGGCCUGAGAGGGUGACCGGCAAAAUGGGAAUGGGGAGACGGCCCAAACCCUUAGGGGAGGAAGAAGGGGGAAAAAUGGAACAAGGGCGGAAGCCUGAUGCAGCAACGCCGCGUGCGGGAUGACGGCCUUCGGGUUGUAAACCGCUUUCGCCUGUGACGAAGCGUGAGUGACGGUAAUGGGUAAAGAAGCACCGGCUAACUACGUG